rnacentral:misc_RNA from 1 species
UUUCAACCCUCGAGCCCGUCUCGGUGUGGCCCCACGGCCGCGAGCCGCCCCCGAAAUGCAUUGGCGACCCCGCCGCGGCCUCCCCUGCGCAGUAGCUCCCAGAGAACCUCGCACCGGAAACGCGGAGGCGGUCACGCCGUAAAACAACUCUCCUCAUGGAAGUUGACCUCGGAUCAGGUAGGGAUACCCGCUGAACUUAA